UAAUACGGAGGAUGCGAGCGUUAUCCGGAUUUAUUGGGUUUAAAGGGUGCGUAGGCGGGUUAAUAAGUCAGUGGUGAAAACCUACAGCUUAACUGUAGACUUGCCGUUGAUACUGUUAGUCUUGAGUGUGGUCAAGGUAGGCGGAAUGUGUAAUGUAGCGGUGAAAUGCUUAGAUAUUACACAGAACACCGAUUGCGAAGGCAGCUUACUGGGCCAUUACUGACGCUGAUGCACGAAAGCGUGGGGAUCAAACAGG
rnacentral:rRNA from 1 species